CGUGCCGUGAGGUGUCGGGUUAAGUCCCAUAACGAGCGCAACCCUUGUCCUUAGUUACCUAGCACGUUAUGGUGGGCACUCUAAGGAGACUGCCGGUGACAAACCGGAGGAAGGUGGGGAUGACGUCAAGUCAUCAUGGCCCUUACGGCCUGGGCUACACACGUGCUACAAUGGUCGGUACAAAGGGUUGCCAAGCCGCGAGGUGGAGCUAAUCCCAUAAAACCGAUCGUAGUCCGGAUCGCAGUCUGCAACUCGACUGCGUGAAGUCGGAAUCGCUAGUAAUCGUGAAUCAGAAUGUCACGGUGAAUACGUUCCCGGGCCUU
rnacentral:rRNA from 1 species